GACGAACGCUGGCGGCGUGCCUAAUACAUGCAAGUAGAACGCUGAAGGAGGAGCUUGCUUCUCCGGAUGAGUUGCGAACGGGUGAGUAACGCGUAUGUAACCUGCCUGGUAGCGGGGGAUAACUAUUGGAAACGAUAGCUAAUACCGCAUAACAGUAGAUAUUGCAUGAUAUCUACUUGAAAGGUGCAAUUUCAUCGCUACCAGAUGGACCUGCGUUGUAUUAACUAGUUGGUGAGGUAACGGCUCACCAAGGCGACGAUACAUAGCCGACCUGAGAAGGUGAACGGCCACAAUGGGAAUUGAGAACGGGUCAGACUCCUAACGGGAGCAGCAGUAGGGGAUCUUCGGAAAUGGACGGAAGUCUGAACGAGGAAAGACGGGGGAGUGAAGGAAGUUUUCGGGUCGGAAAGCUCUGUUGUAAGGGAAGGAAGAGUGGGAGAGUGAAAAGUUCACACUGUGACGGUAUCUAACCAGAAAGCGACGGCUAACUACGUG
rnacentral:rRNA from 1 species